UACGUAGGUGGCAAGCGUUGUCCGGAUUUACUGGGCGUAAAGAGCGCGCAGGCGGUCGUUCAAGUCGCGUGUGAAAGCCCCCGGCUCAACUGGGGAGGGUCACGCGAUACUGAUCGACUCGAAGGCAGGAGAGGGUAGUGGAAUUCCCGGUGUAGUGGUGAAAUGCGUAGAUAUCUGGAGGAACACCGGUGGCGAAGGCGGGUCUCAUGGGCCGAUCUGACGCUGAGGAGCGAAAGCGUGGGGAGCGAACAGG
rnacentral:rRNA from 1 species